CUUCUCUCUCUCUUCUCUCUCA
rnacentral:sRNA from 1 species